UACGUAGGGGGCAAGCGUUGUCCGGAUUUAUUGGGCGUAAAGAGCGUGUAGGCGGCCAGGUAGGUCUGCUGUGAAAACUCGAGGCUUAACCUCGAGCUGUCGGCGGAAACCAUCUGGCUAGAGUCCGGAAGAGGAGAAUGGAAUUCCCGGUGUAGCGGUGAAAUUCGUAGAUAUCGAGAGGAACACCGGUGGCGAAGGCGGCCUUCUGGACGAGUGACUGACGCUGAGACGCGAAAGCCAGGGGAGCGAACGGG
rnacentral:rRNA from 1 species